CUACUUUAUAGCUUGCUCUGUCGAUGGUGGCGCUUGAAGAAGACUGUGGCGUGAUCCGGAUGAAGAGGGCUUGCAGCAGGGACGCUCGCAGAGCUAUGCCCACCAAGGUUGAAGCAAGCACGGUAGCGACGUCACAGGACAGCCGGCGUUAUCUGAGAAAAGGCAGGUUGUUACUUGGACGAUGCUUCUUCGAUGCUGCUGCUGCCGCCAAUGUGAAAGCAGGCCUCGAUUUCCGCUACUUUAUAGCUUGCUCUAUCGAUGGUGGCGCUUGAAGAAGACUGCGGCGUGAUCCGGACAAAGAGGGCUUGCAGCAGAGACGCUCGCAGAGCUAUGCCCACCAAGGUUGAAGCAAGCACAGUAGCGACGUCACAGGACAGCCGGCGUUAUCUGCGAAAAGGCAGGUUGUUACUUGGACGAUGCUUCUUCGAUGCUGCUGCUGCCGCCAAUGUGAAAGCAGGCCUCGAUUUCCGCUACUUUAUAGCUUGCUCUAUCGAUGGUGGCGCUUGAAGAAGACUGCGGCGUGAUCCGGACAAAGAGGGCUUGCAGCAGAGACGCUCGCAGAGCUAUGCCCACCAAGGUUGAA
rnacentral:lncRNA from 1 species